UGCGCAAGUUGGUACACUUUCUUACUUACAAAGUAUACAGAAAUCUCUCAUCACUUUUUGAACCGGAAAACAGAAAUCGGACGACAAAUGUCUGGAAAAGGUGAAGGCCAAGCUGGAAAAGGGGAAGGCUAAUCUGGAAAAGGUGAAUGCCAAGCUAGAAAUGGUGAAGGCCAAUCAAGUAACGACAACAAUUCUGACUAGUGUAAUCCAACCAGCAUUGAAUAUGAAGGACAUCAGUCUGCUUAUACUGGAACAGGAACUAAGCCAGACCUGGAAAACCACUUCAACCAAAUGAAUCCAAACAAUCAGGAAUAUGAGGGAAAGAAAUAACAAUGAACAUUUAGACGCAUCUGUUUAUAUGAACUUGUGCGGGACAUUUACUGUUUCAGCAACUUGAUAAAUUAAAUUAUUUUCAAUUCAA